rnacentral:rRNA from 1 species
CAGUCGAACGAGUUCUCGUUGAUGAUCGGUGCUUGCACCGAGAUUCAACAUGGAACGAGUGGCGGACGGGUGAGUAACACGUGGGUAACCUGCCCUUAAGUGGGGGAUAACAUUUGGAAACAGAUGCUAAUACCGCAUAGAUCCAAGAACCGCAUGGUUCUUGGCUGAAAGAUGGCGUAAGCUAUCGCUUUUGGAUGGACCCGCGGCGUAUUAGCUAGUUGGUGAGGUAAUGGCUCACCAAGGCGAUGAUACGUAGCCGAACUGAGAGGUUGAUCGGCCACAUUGGGACUGAGACACGGCCCAAACUCCUACGGGAGGCAGCAGUAGGGAAUCUUCCACAAUGGACGCAGGUCUGAUGGAGCAACGCCGCGUGAGUGAAGAAGGCUUUCGGGUCGUAAAACUCUGUUGUUGGAGAAGAAUGGUCGGCAGAGUAACUGUUGUCGGCGUGACGGUAUCCAACCAGAAAGCCACGGCUAACUACGUGCCAGCAGCCGCGGUAAUACGUAGGUGGCAAGCGUUAUCCGGAUUUAUUGGGCGUAAAGCGAGCGCAAGCGGUUUUUUAAGUCUGAUGUGAAAGCCCUCGGCUUAACCGAGGAAGCGCAUCGGAAACUGGCAAACUUGAGUGCAGAAGAGGACAGUGGAACUCCAUGUGUAGCGGUGAAAUGCGUAGAUAUAUGGAAGAACACCAGUGGCGAAGGCGGCUGUCUGGUCUGUAACUGACGCUGAGGCUCGAAAGCAUGGGUAGCGAACAGGAUUAGAUACCCUGGUAGUCCAUGCCGUAAACGA